rnacentral:rRNA from 1 species
AAUGAACGCUGGCGGCGCGCCUAAUACAUGCAAGUCGAGCGAGAAGACGUAGCAAUACGUUUGUAAAGCGGCGAACGGGUGAGGAAUACAUGGGUAACCUACCCUCGAGUGGGGAAUAACUAGCCGAAAGGUUAGCUAAUACCGCGUACGCUCCUUGGACUUCGGUUCAGGGAGGAAAGCGAUACCGUGGGUAUCGCGCUCUUGGUUGGGCUCAUGUCCUAUCAGCUUGUUGGUGAGGAACGGCUCACCAAGGCUUCGACGGGUAGCUGGUCUGAGAGGACGAUCAGCCACACUGGCACUGCGACACGGGCCAGACUCCUACGGGAGGCAGCAGUAAGGAAUAUUGCGCAAUGGGCGAAAGCCUGACGCAGCGACGCCGCGUGGGGGAUGAAGGUCUUCGGAUUGUAAACCCCUUCCGGGAGGGAAGAUGGAACGAGCAAUCGUUCGGACGGUACCUCCAGAAG